AGAGAAGAGGAAACAGAGAAACAGACUAACAUACAAAACUACAGAACAGUUGUCUGUUGGUGCCUGGGACCCGUGGCUGUGCUGGUCUAGAGGAGAGGCA